UACGUAUGGUGCAAGCGUUAUCCGGAAUUACUGGGUGUAAAGGGAGCGUAGGCGGCAUGGUAAGCCAGAUGUGAAAGCCCGCGGCUUAACCGCGCGGAUUGCAUUUGGAACUAUCAAGCUAGAGUACAGGAGAGGAAAGCGGAAUUCCUAGUGUAGCGGUGAAAUGCGUAGAUAUUAGGAAGAACACCAGUGGCGAAGGCGGCUUUCUGGACUGAAACUGACGCUGAGGCUCGAAAGCGUGGGGAGCAAACAGG
rnacentral:rRNA from 1 species